UGUGUGUGUGUGUGGAUAUAUCUAUCUAUAUAUCUAUAUCUAUAUAUAUAGAUAGAUAUAUCCACACACACACACU